UGGGGAAUUGUUCGCAAUGGGCGCAAGCCUGACGACGCAACGCCGCGUGGAGGACGAAGAUCUUCGGGUCGUAAACUCCUGUCGAGCGGGAAGAAUGGGUGGUGGGUCAAUACCCCAUCAUCGUGACGGUACCGCUAAAGGAAGCCCCGGCUAACUCCGUGCCAGCAGCCGCGGUAAUACGGGGGGGGCAAGCGUUGUUCGGAAUUACUGGGCGUAAAGGGCUCGUAGGCGGCCAACUAAGUCGGAUGUGAAAUCCCCAGGCUCAACCUGGGAAUGGCAUCCGAUACUGGAUGGCUUGAAUCCGGGAGAGGGAUGCAGAAUUCCAGGUGUAGCGGUGAAAUGCGUAGAUAUCUGGAGGAAUACCGGUGGCGAAGGCGGCAUCCUGGACCGGCAUUGACGCUGAGGAGCGAAAGCUAGGGGAGCAAACGG
rnacentral:rRNA from 1 species